GACGAACGCUGGCGGCGUGCCUAAUACAUGCAAGUAGAACGCACAGUUUAUACCGUAGCUUGCUACACCAUAGACUGUGAGUUGCGAACGGGUGAGUAACGCGUAGGUAACCUGCCUGGUAGCGGGGGAUAACUAUUGGAAACGAUAGCUAAUACCGCAUAAUAUUGAUUAUUGCAUGAUAAUUGAUUGAAAGAUGCUAUUGCAUCACUACCAGAUGGACCUGCGUUGUAUUAGCUAGUAGGUGAGGUAACGGCUCACCUAGGCGACGAUACAUAGCCGACCUGAGAGGGUGAUCGGCCACACUGGGACUGAGACACGGCCCAGACUCCUACGGGAGGCAGCAGUAGGGAAUCUUCGGCAAUGGACGAAAGUCUGACCGAGCAACGCCGCGUGAGUGAAGAAGGUGUUCGGAUCGUAAAGCUCUGUUGUAAGAGAAGAACGGGUGUGAGAGUGGAAAGUUCACACUGUGACGGUAUCUUACCAGAAAGGGACGGCUAACUACGUG
rnacentral:rRNA from 1 species